ACGUGCUACAAUGGGAAGUACAACGAGUCGCAAACCGGCGACGGUAAGCUAAUCUCUUAAAACUUCUCUCAGUUCGGACUGGAGUCUGCAACUCGACUCCACGAAGGCGGAAUCGCUAGUAAUCGCGAAUCAGCAUGUCGCGGUGAAUACGUUCCCGGGUCUUGUACACACCGCCCGUCAAAUCAUGGGAGUCGGAAGUACCCAAAGUCGCUUGGCUAACUUUUAGAGGCCGGUGCCUAAGGUAAAAUCGAUGACUGGGAUUAAGUCGUAACAAGGUAGCCGUAGGAGAACCUGCGGCUGGAUCACCUCCUUUCUAAGGA
rnacentral:rRNA from 1 species